GGCCAGACUCCUACGGGAGGCAGCAGUGGGGGAUAUUGCACAAUGGGGGGAACCCUGAUGCAGCGACGCCGCGUGGGUGAAGGAGCGUUUCGGCGCGUAAAGCCCUAUCGGCAGGGAAGAAGGGGGACGGUACCUGACUAAGAAGCCCCGGCUAACUACGUGCCAGCAGCCGCGGUAAUAAGUAGGAGGCAAGCGUUAUCCGGAUUUACUGGGUGUAAAGGGAGCGUAGACGGCAGUGCAAGUCUGGAGUGAAAGGCGGGGGCGCAACCCCCGGACUGCUCUGGAACCGGUGCGGCUGGAGUGCAGGAGAGGUAAGUGGAAUUCCUAGGGUAGCGGUGAAAUGCGUAGAUAUUAGGAGGAACACCAGUGGCGAAGGCGGCCUGCUGGACUGCGACUGACGUUGAGGCCCGAAAGCGUGGGGAGCAAACAGGAUUAGAUACCCCUGUACG
rnacentral:rRNA from 1 species